rnacentral:rRNA from 1 species
GGAACGAACGCUGGCGGCAUGCCUAAUACAUGCAAGUCGAACGAACACUUCGGUGUUAGUGGCGCACGGGUGCGUAACGCGUGGGAAUCUGCCCUUGGGUUCGGAAUAACAGUUGGAAACGACUGCUAAUACCGGAUGAUGACGAAAGUCCAAAGAUUUAUCGCCCAGGGAUGAGCCCGCGUAGGAUUAGCUAGUUGGUGAGGUAAAGGCUCACCAAGGCGACGAUCCUUAGCUGGUCUGAGAGGAUGAUCAGUCACACUGGAACUGAGACACGGUCCAGACU